UGGGGAAUUUUCCGCAAUGGGCGAAAGCCUGACGGAGCAAUCUCGCGUGAGGGAUGACGGCCUAUGGGUUGUAAACCUCUUUUUUCAGGGAGGAACAAAAUGACGUGUACCUGAAGAAUAAGCAUCGGCUAACUCCGUGCCAGCAGCCGCGGUAAGACGGAGGAUGCAAGUGUUAUCCGGAAUCACUGGGCGUAAAGCGUCUGUAGGUGGUUUAAUAAGUCAACUGUUAAAUCUUGAAGCUCAACUUCAAAAUCGCAGUCGAAACUAUUAGACUAGAGUAUAGUAGGGGUAAAGGGAAUUUCCAGUGGAGCGGUGAAAUGCGUAGAGAUUGGAAAGAACACCGAUGGCGAAGGCACUUUACUGGGCUAUUACUGACACUCAGAGACGAAAGCUAGGGUAGCAAAUGGG
rnacentral:rRNA from 1 species